GUCCUUGUCGAUUAGUGGUUAGAUCAUCACGUUGUGGCACCCCGCAGAUCCGUGAAGACGGAGGCUCGAAUCCUCCCUGGGACA